GAUGAACGCUGGCGGUAGGCCUAACACAUGCAAGUCGAGCGAAGCCUUCGGGCUUAGCGGCGGACGGGUGAGUAACGCGUGGGAACGUGCCCUUUGGUACGGAAUAGCCCCGGGAAACUGGGAGUAAUACCGUAUGUGGUCGAGAGACGAAAGAUUUAUCGCCAAAGGAUCGGCCCGCGUUGGAUUAGGUAGUUGGUGGGGUAAUGGCCUACCAAGCCGACGAUCCAUAGCUGGUUUGAGAGGAUGAUCAGCCACACUGGGACUGAGACACGGCCCAGACUCCUACGGGAGGCAGCAGUGGGGAAUCUUAGACAAUGGGGGAAACCCUGAUCUAGCCAUGCCGCGUGAUCGAUGAAGGCCUUAGGGUUGUAAAGAUCUUUCAGUGGGGAAGAUAAUGACUGUACCCACAGAAGAAGCCCCGGCUAACUCCGUGCCAGCCGCCGCGGUAAGAC
rnacentral:rRNA from 1 species